CUUGAUUCGUUAUAAGAGGUCCAGCCUGCCCAGUGACCAUGUUCAACGGCCGCGGUAUCCUAACCGUGCGAAGGUAGCGUAAUCACUUGUUCUUUAAAUGUGGACUAGUAUGAACGGCAUCACGAAGGUUAUACUGUCUCCUUUUUCUAAUCAGUGAAACUAAUCUCCCCGUGAAGAAGCGUGGAUAAAAUUAUAAGACGAGAAGACCCUAUGGAGCUUUAAACAACACAGCACUUACCUGAGAACCUUGAAUGUUUCUUUAACACUAACUCUUAGAGUAAGAUGACCGUAAGUUUUUGGUUGGGGUGACCACGGAGUAUAUCAUAACCUCCAUGUUGAAAGAAUUUUUCUAAGCCAAGAACAACCUAUCUAAGCAUUAAUAAAUUAACAUCUAUUGACCCAAUAAAUUUGACCAACGAAC
rnacentral:rRNA from 1 species